GCAUAACAGUAGAUGUUGCAUGACAUUUGCUUAAAAGGUGCAAUUGCAUCACUACCAGAUGGACCUGCGUUGUAUUAGCUAGUUGGUGGGGUAACGGCUCACCAAGGCGACGAUACAUAGCCGACCUGAGAGGGUGAUCGGCCACACUGGGACUGAGACACGGCCCAGACUCCUACGGGAGGCAGCAGUAGGGAAUCUUCGGCAACGGACGGAAGUCUGACCGAGCAACGCCGCGUGAGUGAAGAAGGUUUUCGGAUCGUAAAGCUCUGUUGUAAGAGAAGAACGAGUGUGAGAGUGGAAAGUUCACACUGUGACGGUAUCUUACCAGAAAGGGACGGCUAACUACGUGCCAGCAGCCGCGGUAAUACGUAGGUCCCGAGCGUUGUCCGGAUUUAUUGGGCGUAAAGCGAGCGCAGGCGGUUAGAUAAGUCUGAAGUUAAAGGCUGUGGCUUAACCAUAGUACGCUUUGGAAACUGUUUAACUUGAGUGCAAGAGGGGAGAGUGGAAUUCCAUGUGUAGCGGUGAAAUGCGUAGAUAUAUGGAGGAACACCGGUGGCGAAAGCGGCUCUCUGG
rnacentral:rRNA from 1 species